rnacentral:rRNA from 1 species
GACGAACGCUGGCGGCGUGCCUAAUACAUGCAAGUAGAACGCUGAAGAAGAGGAGCUUGCUCUUCUUGGAUGAGUUGCGAACGGGUGAGUAACGCGUAGGUAACCUGCCUUGUAGCGGGGGAUAACUACUGGAAACGAUAGCUAAUACCGCAUAACAAUGGAUGACACAUGUCAUUUAUUUGAAAGGGGCAAUUGCUCCACUACAAGAUGGACCUGCGUUGUAUUAGCUAGUAGGUGAGGUAACGGCUCACCUAGGCGACGAUACAUAGCCGACCUGAGAGGGUGAUCGGCCACACUGGGACUGAGACACGGCCCAGACUCCUACGGGAGGCAGCAGUAGGGAAUCUUCGGCAAUGGGGGCAACCCUGACCGAGCAACGCCGCGUGAGUGAAGAAGGUUUUCGGAUCGUAAAGCUCUGUUGUAAGUCAAGAACGAGUGUGAGAGUGGAAAGUUCACACUGUGACGGUAGCUUACCAGAAAGGGACGGCUAACUACGUGCCAGCAGCCGCGGUAAUACGUAGGUCCCGAGCGUUGUCCGGAUUUAUUGGGCGUAAAGCGAGCGCAGGCGGUUUGAUAAGUCUGAAGUUAAAGGCUGUGGCUCAACCAUAGUUCGCUUUGGAAACUGUCAAACUUGAGUGCAGAAGGGGAGAGUGGAAUUCCAUGUGUAGCGGUGAAAUGCGUAGAUAUAUGGAGGAACACCGGUGGCGAAAGCGGCUCUCUGGUCUGUAACUGACGCUGAGGCUCGAAGGCGUGGGGAGCGAACAGGAUUAGAUACCCUGGUAGUCCACGCCGUAAACGAUGAGUGCUAGGUGUUGGAUCCUUUCCGGGAUUCAGUGCCGCAGCUAACGCAUUAAGCACUCCGCCUGGGGAGUACGACCGCAAGGUUGAAACUCAAAGGAAUUGACGGGGGCCCGCACAAGCGGUGGAGCAUGUGGUUUAAUUCGAAGCAACGCGAAGAACCUUACCAGGUCUUGACAUCCCGAUGCUAUUUCUAGAGAUAGAAAGUUACUUCGGUACAUCGGUGACAGGUGGUGCAUGGUUGUCGUCAGCUCGUGUCGUGAGAUGUUGGGUUAAGUCCCGCAACGAGCGCAACCCCUAUUGUUAGUUGCCAUCAUUCAGUUGGGCACUCUAGCGAGACUGCCGGUAAUAAACCGGAGGAAGGUGGGGAUGACGUCAAAUCAUCAUGCCCCUUAUGACCUGGGCUACACACGUGCUACAAUGGUUGGUACAACGAGUUGCGAGUCGGUGACGGCAAGCUAAUCUCUUAAAGCCAAUCUCAGUUCGGAUUGUAGGCUGCAACUCGCCUACAUGAAGUCGGAAUCGCUAGUAAUCGCGGAUCAGCACGCCGCGGUGAAUACGUUCCCGGGCCU